GCUCUGUUAGCUUAAUGGAAAAAGCCGCAGCCUUCUAAGCUGUUGAUGGUGGUUCGACUCCACCACGGGGCGCCA
rnacentral:tRNA from 1 species